GAUGAACGCUGGCGGCGUGCCUAAUACAUGCCAGUCGAGCAAACAGACGAGGAGCUUGCUCCUCUGACGUUAGCGGCGGACGGGUGAGUAACACGUGGAUAACCUACCUAUAAGACUGGGAUAACUUCGGGAAACCGGAGCUAAUACCGGAUAAUAUAUUGAACCGCAUGGUUCAAUAGUGAAAGACGGUUUUGCUGUCACUUAUAGAUGGAUCCGCGCCGCAUUAGCUAGUUGGUAAGGUAACGGCUUACCAAGGCGACGAUGCGUAGCCGACCUGAGAGGGUGAUCGGCCACACUGGAACUGAGACACGGUCCAGACUCCUACGGGAGGCAGCAGUAGGGAAUCUUCCGCAAUGGGCGAAAGCUUGACGGAGCAACGCCGCGUGAGUGAUGAAGGUCUUCGGAUCGUAAAACUCUGUUAUUAGGGAAGAACAAAUGUGUAAGUAACUAUGCACGUCUUGACGGUACCUAAUCAGAAAGCCACGGCUAACUACGUG
rnacentral:rRNA from 1 species